UACGUAGGGUGCGAGCGUUAAUCGGAAUUACUGGGCGUAAAGCGUGCGCAGGCGGUUUUGUAAGCCAGAUGUGAAAUCCCCGGGCUUAACCUGGGAAUGGCAUUUGGGACUGCAAGGCUGGAGUGUGGCAGAGGAGACUGGAAUUCCCGGUGUAGCAGUGAAAUGCGUAGAUAUCGGGAGGAAUACCGAUGGCGAAGGCGACUACCUGGCCUGUUCUUGACGCUGAGGCGCGAAAGCUAGGGGAGCAAACGGG
rnacentral:rRNA from 1 species